CUUAAGUUGAAGAUAUCUGUCCCACAAGGUUAUCAUUUCUCGAAGGUGAAUGAGGUCAAAAAUGUGCUGAAACUUUGCGAUUUUGGUAAUGCCAUGUUUGCUGGGAAGAAUGAGAUUACACCAUAGUUGUAUCUCUGUUCAUUCUUGGCUUGCCGUAUGACCAUGCUUUGGACAUAUAGGUCAGUUGGCUGCUGCUUGUAUGAGCUAUAUACAGGAAAGGUCCUCUUCCCUGGACCAUCAAACAAUGACAUGCUUCGGCUUCAUAUGGAGUUAAAAGGUCCAUUUCAUAAAAAGAUGCUCAGGAAGGGAGCCUUUACUGAUCAUCAUUUUGAUCGGGAUCUGAAUUUCCAUGCCACUGAAGAAGAUCCUGUUACAAAGAAGGCAAAGGAUUUUAGUAGUCUUAUUUCAAGCUAUACUGGUGAGGAUCCCAAGAUGCUGGCCAAUUUCAAAGAUCUGCUUGAUAGAAUUUUUGUGCUCGAUCCAGAGAAAAGAUUGACAGUAUCUCAAGCACUGAGUCAUCCAUUCAUUACGGGCAAGUGAAUAAAGAUGCCUGUUGAGUUAGCUAUGCAUUUGAAUCUUUUAUUCAGCCAUCUGAUCAUUGGCCAUUUGCUUGUCUCUGUCUUUGUCACAUGGACCAAGUGCAAGCAAUGCAGACUUCUUGCUGAUCGUGAGCUUAACACAGCCACUCUGGGGAGCUCUCUUACUUGGCGAGUCCUUUCAGUCGAAUAUAUUCUAUUUCUAUUGGCUUAUGGCAGUUCUCUGAGGCAAAUAUAACAAUGGUUUUGAUGGUUGAAGACAGCAGAAAGAAGGGUAGGGCAGAUGAUUUCUGGUGUCUUUUAUGCACGGCGUACGGGAGGAACAUAAAGAUGGUUCAGUUCAGGCGUAUAGUGUGCAAGCUUUCAUUCCAAAAGAUCUUGCAGCACUUGUAUGGCAGAAUGGUUCCAGUCUUACUCAUGAUAAGUUUUGAUAAGGCCAUUGGUCAAUCCUACAAAAGUUAUUAUAAAUCUUAAUGGGCUAGAGUAUUUGUGGCAUGAUCUUGUAUCAAAACGCUGCAGGCGAAUUUCUCUCUGAUUAGUUUGUUAUUGUGUUAAGCCGGCUGCUCCCUUUCCUCCAUCGUCUUCUUUCAUCCUCUCUUCUCAACAUAUCUGUUUUGCAUACGGAGAGACGAGUACUUUGUGAAGAUUCUUACAUGGUAUCAGAGCCAGGUUGCAUCGUCCUCCGAAAAGGACUGCACGAUCAUCACACCUUACUCAAAAAAAAAAAAUCCACAAGAUCUGCUGUUCCUCAUAUCAAACAGCAGCCACGAGAUCUCCUUAAGGAUCUGAUGACGCCUUCCACAUAGGCGUGACCAGUCCUUCUCCACGCAGCACACCCAAACUUUAUCUCUUUACCGCCUCCCUGUUCGUGGGUAAGAAGAAAUAAAGUUGGGCAACGAGAGGAGGAAAGAGAAGGAAGACACCGGAGGAAGAAGUCGCCAAAGACGGAGAUCGCCGGAAAGCUUACUUGGUUGUUGCCGCCGGUGGAGGCUCUGAUACCAUGUUGCACGAGAGAGAAAGAGAAAAGCUUCUGUCCCUCAUCUUGACAUGGUUGAAAGUGUAGAUGAUCAAAAAGCAUCUGUCCCUCAUCUUGACAUGGUUGAAAGUGUAGAUGAUCAAAAGAAAUGGUGGUAUGUGUAUGCAUGAUGAAGCACCCCUUUACAUCGAUAUGAUUGAACAGACAACUCUAGGUCAUGGGUUUAUAAAGGAAGAGUUUGGCAAGACACCUAGAAUUGGUUGGCAGAUUGAUCCAUUUGGACACUCAGCAGUACAAGCUUAUUUGCUUAGUGCAGAAGAAUUGAUUUCUCAAACACAUGCAAUCCGAUUAGCAGCAAGACUCAUGUCAAGUCCAGGGGAAUGGCUUGCAGCACUGUCAUUGUUGCUAGAGCUAUCAAAGAACUGUUUAUCUUCAUGUGAGAAAAUUUGUUCCAGACCUGGUACCAUUCUACUUUUGAUUACAAUAAAAUGCAAUACUACUGAUUCAAUGGUAGCUGAAAAAGCAAACAUGACCCAAAACAACUUCGUGAAGUGUCCAAAAAAUAGCAAGAUCAUGCAGAAAAUAGACUUUUGGAACCUCUUCUCAGCAACCUCAUUAAAGAAGCGAGGAGAAGUUGAUUAUUGGGCUGAAGAUGAAAAGAUUUGGGAUUAAGAGCAAGGUGAAUGGCUAAGGUGGUGUUAUCUUCAACUUGGCGAGCUUCGGUGGUUGGUGGAGCAGUUAGAGGUGAUUGUGGAUGGAUAGAAUAAGAAAGAAGAAAAAAGGGGACACCAGCGAUCAUUCGAGAGGCUUCCAUUCGAAUUCAUCGUUCUCUCUUCUGUCUUCGAUUCAUUGACCCCUAAACAGAAUGAAGAUUCUAUUCUUCUUGGAAACAAAAUUUGCUUGGGUUGCGUUUUUCCAACUCUUUCAGCGUAAGCAGCUCCACAACUAGAGCGCAUUGCUUUCCAUGGACAGGUAUAUGUGCAAUCUAUAGUUUUAUGGCCAGGUAUAUGUGCAAUCUUUCAAGGUAUUCUGCAGUUUUUCAAUUAGAUGUUCAAAUGUGAAAUGCAUUUUCUAUAAUAUUUAAGCUACUGAUUGUCAA